rnacentral:rRNA from 1 species
CCUACGGGAGGCAGCAGUGGGGAAUAUUGCGCAAUGGCCGAAAGCCUGACGCAGCGACGCCGCGUGAGGGAUGAAGGCCUUCGGAUCGUAAACCUCUGUCAGCAGGGAAGCACGGUCACUGUGCUAAUCAGCAGUGAAUUGACGGUACCUGCAAAGGAAGCACCGGCUAACUCCGUGCCAGCAGCCGCGGUAAUACGGAGGGUUCGGGCGUUGAUCGGAAUUACUGGGGGUAAUGCGGUCGUAGGGCGGAGGUCAAGUCUAGGGUGAAAUCCCCGGGGUCAACGUGGGAACUGCCUUUGAAACUGGCAAACUUGAGUGUGUGAGAGGAUAGUGGAAUUCCAGGUGUAGGGGUGAAAUCCGUAGAUAUCUGGAAGAACAUCAGUGGCGAAGGCGACUAUCUGGCACAUAACUGACGCUGAGGAGCGAAAGCGUGGGUAGCAAACAGGAUUAGAUACCCGAGUAGUC